AUCAAAAUUGCAGCAAUAGCAGGAGGUUUAUAGUGGCCGUUGGAUGUGUUUGGCAUGGUCACUGCACACGAUGUCGCGGACGGCCGCAGGCAUAAUAUUAUCUAUACUCGUACAAGAAAUAAUUGUCAAACCAUCACGGAGGAGCAUCCCUAUCUUACACUCACCGGCCCUACCCGUGCCAUACGGACUUGUUACAAUCCCGGGAGCAUCGAGAUCAUGCUCAAAGUUACGGGCGCUACUGAAAGUCAAGACAGAGACUUAAGCUUUCUAACCUAACUUUUAAAAGAAAGAAUGUAUUGUUCUUUUCAUAAAGAUUACACUAGCAGGCGUAGCACACUCCAGUGUAGAUUCCACCACAUGAACAACUUUCUAGAGGCGACAAUCAGUGUGCAACUCAUUGGUGGGUCAUCAUUGCCACCUGAUGGUUUUCGAGAUGUGAUCACAGCUAGUACUGCCAGCAUAUAUGACGAGGAAGUUGUGUUGCAUGCUUUCUGAGAUGGUGAAUUGCAUGUUGUUGAUGAUGACACAAUUACUCUUUCACGACGUGUUGUCUCUGUCAAAUUGGAUGAUCAAGAACUCAAGGUCUCUAUGGUGUUACAAAGUGAAGAGGGUGAUCAAGUUGCGACAAGAGAUGACAUAGUUUUCAAGCCAAAGUAUGUCGGUAGAAGUUUAGGCAUUCUUAAUGCUGCAUGUAAGAUGCAAAUCAUGAUUGCUUGGUCUGGAUUCUCGUAUUAA
rnacentral:rRNA from 1 species